rnacentral:rRNA from 1 species
AUUGAACGCUGGCGGCAGGCCUAACACAUGCAAGUCGAGCGAGCGUCGGACGGGUGAGUAAUGUAUGGGGACUGCCCGAUAGAGGGGGAUAACUACUGGAAACGGGGGCUAAUACAACAUACUGUCGGGUAACCCAUAUGGGAUUAGCUAGUAGGUAAGGUAAUGGCUUACCUAGGCGACGAUCCCUCGCUGGUCUGAGAGGAUGAUCAGCCACACUGGGACUGAGACACGGCCCAGACUCCUACGGAGGCAGCAGUGGGGAAUAUUGCACAAUGGGCGCAAGCCUGAUGCAGCCAUGUCGCGUGUAUGAAGAAGGCCCUAGGGUUGUAAAGUACUUUCAGUCGGGAGGCGUUACCGACAGAAGAAGCACCGGCUAACUCCGUGCCAGCAGCCGCGGUAAUUC